rnacentral:rRNA from 1 species
AACGAACGCUGGCGGCAGGCUUAACACAUGCAAGUCGAACGCAUCCUUCGGGGUGAGUGGCAGAUGGGUGAGUAACACGUGGGAACGUGCCUUUAGGUUCGGAAUAGCUCCUGGAAACGGGUGGUAAUGCCGAAUGUGCCCUUAGGGGGAAAGAUUUAUCGCCUUUAGAGCGGCCCGCGUUUGAUUAGCUAGUUGGUGAGGUAAUGGCUCACCAAGGCUACGAUCAGUAGCUGGUCUGAGAGGAUGACCAGCCACAUUGGGACUGAGACACGGCCCAAACUCCUACGGGAGGCAGCAGUGGGGAAUCUUGCGCAAUGGGCGAAAGCCUGACGCAGCCAUGCCGCGUGGAUGAUGAAGGUCUUAGGAUUGUAAAAUCCUUUCACCGGUGAAGAUAAUGACUGUAGCCGGAGAAGAAGCCCCGGCUAACUUCGUGCCAGCAGCCGCCGUAA